CCUGCUUUCGAGCAGGGCUUUUUGCUUUUUUGCGUCGCGGACUGUUAAUCCGUAUGUCACUGGUUCGAGUCCAGUCAGAGGAGCCA
rnacentral:tRNA from 1 species